rnacentral:rRNA from 1 species
CGCUAAGGCGUUGAAGCAGUGUAUGUCAGACUUCCAAGAAAAGCUCGCAAUGUCACAAAUAAAAAUGCCUGUACCAUAACCGACACAGGUGGGUAGGUAGAGUAUACUAAGGGGCGCGAGAUAACUCUCUCUAAGGAACUCGGCAAAAUGACUCCGUAACUUCGGGAGAAGGAGUGCCUUAUUUAUAAGGUUGCAAUAACAAGAUCCAAGCAACUGUUUAUCAAAAACACAGGUCUCCGCUAAGUCGUAAGACGAUGUAUGGGGGCUGACGCCUGCCCAGUGCCAGAAGGUUAAAGAAGUUGGUUAGUGUAUGCGAAGCUGAUGACUGAAGCCCUGGUGAACGGCGGCCGUAACUAUAACGGUCCUAAGGUAGCGAAAUUCCUUGUCGGGUAAGUUCCGACCCGCACGAAAGGCGUAAUGAUUUGGAUACUGUCUCGGAGAGAGGCUCGGUGAAAUAGACUUGUCUGUGAAGAUGCGGACUACCUGCACCAGGACAGAAAGACCCUAUGAAGCUUUACUGUAACUUGAAAUUGGAAUUGGACUUUGCUUGCGCAGUAUAGGUGGGAAGCGUUGAAAAUAUUCUUGCGGGAGUAUUGGAGCUAUCAGUGAGAUACCACUCUUGUAAUGUUAGAUUUCUAACUUUGAACCAUAAUCUGGUCAAAGAACAGUUUCAGGUGGGCAGUUUGACUGGGGCGGUCGCCUCCCAAAUGGUAACGGAGGCGUACAAAGGUUUCCUCUGAACGGAUAGAAAUCGUAUCUAGAGUGUAAAGGCAUAAGGAAGCUUGACUGUGAGACCUACAAGUCGAGCAGGGACGAAAGUCGGUCUUAGUGAUCUGACGGUACUGAGUGGAAAGGCCGUCACUCAACGGAUAAAAGUUACCCUAAGGAUAACAGGCUGAUCUCCCCCAAGAGUUCACAUCGACGGGGAGGUUUGGCACCUCGAUGUCGGCUCAUCGCAUCCUGGGGCGGUAGUACGUCCCAAGGGUUGGGCUGUUCGCCCAUGAAAGCGGUACGCGAGCUGGGUUCAGAACGUCGUGAGACAGUUCGGUCCAUAUCCGGUGUAGGCGCUAGAAUAUUGAGAGGAGCCUUCUUUAGUACGAGAGGACCGAGAAGGACACACCGCUGGUGUACCAGUUAUCGUGCCAACGGUAAACGCUGGGUAGCUAUGUGUGGAGUGGAUAACCGCUGAAAGCAUCUAAGUGGGAAGCCCACCUCGAGAUGAGUAUUCUC